rnacentral:rRNA from 1 species
UACAGAGGGUGCAAGCGUUGUUCGGAAUUAUUGGGCGUAAAGCGCGUGUAGGCGGCAUAGCAAGUCGGGUGUGAAAGCCCUCAGCUCAACUGAGGAAGUGCGCCCGAAACUGCUGUGCUUGAGUGCCGGAGAGGAUGGCGGAAUUCCCCAAGUAGAGGUGAAAUUCGUAGAUAUGGGGAGGAACACCGGUGGCGUAGGCGGCCAUCUGGACGGUAACUGACGCUGAGACGCGAAAGCGUGGGUAGCAAAC